rnacentral:misc_RNA from 1 species
AAGUCGUAACAAGGUUUCCGUAGGUGAACCUGCGGAAGGAUCAUUAAUGGGUUACCGCCUUCGGGCACACCCCCCACCCUUUGUAACUGCGGCCCGGAUUCGGCGCCUGGCGGGGACCACCCUCCGUUCGCGGGGGCCCCGCCUGCCGGAAUUAGCCAACCCUGCCUAGAAAAUUGAAGUCUGAGAACAAGUUAAAUUAAACAAA